UACAGAGGGGGCAAGCGUUGUUCGGAAUUACUGGGCGUAAAGGGCGCAUAGGCGGCCUGCUAAGUCGAACGUGAAAUCCCUGGGCUCAACCCAGGAACUGCGUCCGAUACUGGUUGGCUUGAAUCCGGGAGAGGGACGUGGAAUUCCAGGUGUAGCGGUGAAAUGCGUAGAUAUCUGGAGGAACACCGGUGGCGAAGGCGGCAUCCUGGACCGGCAUUGACGCUGAGGCGCGAAAGCUAGGGGAGCAAACGGG
rnacentral:rRNA from 1 species